UCGUGGGGGAUAACGUAGUGAAAAUUACCCUAAUACCGCAUACCAUCUAUGGAUGAAAGCGGGGGAUCGCAAGACCUCCCGCGAUUGGAUCGGCCGAUAUCCGAUUAGGUAGUUGGUGGGGUAAAGGCUCACCAAGCCAACGAUCUGUAGCUGGUCUGAGAGGACGACCAGCCACACUGGAACUGAGACACGGUCCAGACUCCUACGGGAGGCAGCAGUGGGGAAUUUUGGACAUUGGACGCAAGUCUGAUCCAGCCAUUCCGCGUGCAGGACAAGGCCUUCCGGUUGUAAACUGCUUUUGUACCGCACGAAAAAGCUCUUAUUAAUACUAGGAGUCCAUGAUGGUACCGCAAGAAUAAGCACCGGCUAA
rnacentral:rRNA from 1 species